GAGGGUAUAGCUCAGUAGUAGAGCACAUGCUUAGCAUGCACAAGGUCCUGCGUUCAAUCCCCAGGUACCUCCA
rnacentral:tRNA from 1 species